AUGAACGCUGGCGGCGUGCCUAAUACAUGCAAGUCGAGCGAACGGACGAGAAGCUUGCUUCUCUGAUGUUAGCGGCGGACGGGUGAGUAACACGUGGAUAACCUACCUAUAAGACUGGGAUAACUUCGGGAAACCGGAGCUAAUACCGGAUAAUAUUUUGAACCGCAUGGUUCAAAAGUGAAAGACGGUCUUGCUGUCACUUAUAGAUGGAUCCGCGCUGCAUUAGCUAGUUGGUAAGGUAACGGCUUACCAAGGCAACGAUGCAUAGCCGACCUGAGAGGGGGAUGGGCCACACUGGAAAGGAGACAGGGUCCAGACUCCUAGGGGAGGCAGCAGUAGGGAAUCUUCCGCAAUGGGCGAAAGCCUGACGGAGCAACGCCGCGUGAGGGAUGAAGGUUUUCGGUUCGUAAAACUCUGUUAUUAGGGAAGAACAUAUGUGAAAGAAAAGGGGCACAUUUUGACGGUCCCUAAUCAAAAAGCCACGGCUAACUACGU
rnacentral:rRNA from 1 species